UACCAGCUCUCCGAGUUGUAGGGAUGAUUAUUGAGUUUAAAGCGUCCGUAACUGGCUUAGCAAGUCUCCUGUUAAAUUCAGCGACCUAAUCGUUGAGCCGCGGGAGAUACUAUUAGGCUAGGAGGCGGGAGAGGUCGACGGUACUUUCGGGGUAGGGGUGAAAUCCUAUAAUCCCGGGAGGACCACCAGUGGCGAAGGCUGUCGACUAGAACGCGCUCGACGGUGAGGGACGAAAGCUGGGGGAGCGAACCGGAUUAGAUACCCGGGUAGUCCCAGCUGUAAACUAUGCGGGCUAGGUGUUGGGGUGGCUACGGACCACUUCAGUGACCGCAGGAAAGCCAUUAAGCCCGCCGCCUGGGGAGUACGGCCGCAAGGCUGAAACUUAAGGAAUUGGCGGGGGAGCACCACAAGGCGUGAAGCUUAGCGGUUC
rnacentral:rRNA from 1 species